AACGAACACUGGCGGCGUGCUUAACACAUGCAAGUCGAACGCGAAAGGGGCUUCGGUCCUGAGUAGAGUGGCGCACGGGUGAGUAACGCGUAGAUAACCUGUCCUGGUGUCUGGAAUAAUAUCUCGAAAGGGGUGCUAAUACCGGAUAUUCUUGCUUUCUAUAAGGUAUGCAAGGAAAGGUGGCCUCUGGAACAAGCUACUGCACGAGGAGGGGUCUGCGUACCAUUAGCUAGUAGGUGGGGUAAUGGCCUACCUAGGCGACGAUGGUUAGCGGGUCUGAGAGGAUGAUCCGCCACACUGGUACUGAAACACGGACCAGACUCCUACGGGAGGCAGCAGUGAGGAAUAUUGCGCAAUAGGGGGGCGGAACCCCUACGACGGACCA
rnacentral:rRNA from 1 species